rnacentral:lncRNA from 1 species
CAGGGCUCCUCGGAGAAAUGGCUGAUUUUAGUACUGGGCAGGAAAUAUAGAAAUGGACGUGGAGCAUCUCAUAGAGCUAGAAAGUACUAACCAGGCCUGACCCUACUUAGCUUCCAAGAUCAGAGGAGACCGGGCACGUUCAAGAUGACUUGGAACUGAAGAAGCUGGCAAUCUGGAAAUGCCAAUGGACGCAGAUUUUAAAAGCCCCAGCAAAAGUCUGCUUUCUCUAUUCAUAGGACCAGGAUCAGGAAGAGGACAGCUUAGAAAGACAUAAAAUUCUUAGACAAUAACUGUUCUACCCCAGCCAAACACCAAACACACACACACACACACACACACACACACUCCAACAACUAUGGCCCCACCCACUUCAGCAAAGGCUGAGUAGGAGCCUAAACUUCCACCACUGAGCGGCUAUAAGAAGUUACCCCAAGACCCCACCAACGUGGUGUUAAAGAAGGCCAAAUAGGGGACAAAAUUUUUAUCCAUGCUGACCAGUUAUGAGGUUCCCUUUUUCCCUCUGUGAAAUAAAAAUAAAGCCCGUAGGUCCCCAGGCAAGAUGAAAUGGACUCCUUGUUGCAAAAGAGACCCCAGAAAACUUUAAAAGCUGGAUUCUAUGGCUUUGGCAAGGUAAGAGUUCGGUCACACCUCAAAACUCCCCUACCUCAUUAACUGCUUCAAGACUUUCUUUCCUACAGUUAAACGCCUGGGACUACAGUCAUGUGCCACCAUCCUAGGCUAAUUUUUUUUUAAAGGUUUUUGUAGAGAUGAGGUCUCAGUAU